rnacentral:rRNA from 1 species
GAUGAACGCUAGUUACAGGCUUAACACAUGCAAGUCGCGGGGCAGCAUGUCGGUUGCUUGCAACCGAUGAUGGCGACCGGCGCACGGGUGAGUAACGCGUAUCCAACCUGCCCUUCACCACGGAAUAAUCCAGUGAAAAUUGGUCUAAUACCGUAUGAGGUCAUACGAUGGCAUCAGAAUAUGACGAAAGGUUUGGCGGUGAAGGAUGGGGAUGCGUCUGAUUAGCUUGUUGGUGAGGUAACGGCUCACCAAGGCGACGAUCAGUAGGGGUUCUGAGAGGAAGGUCCCCCACAUUGGACUGAGACCCGGUCCAAACUCCUACGGGAGGCAGCAGUGAGGAAUAUUGGUCAAUGGGCGAGAGCCUGAACCAGCCAAGUAGCGUGCAGGAAGACGGCCCUAUGGGUUGUAAACUGCUUUUAUAUGGGGAUAAAGUGAGCUACGUGUAGUUUAUUGCAGGUACCAUAUGAAUAAGGACCGGCUAAUUCCGUGCCAGCAGCCGCUGUAA